UACGUAGGGCGCAAGCGUUAUCCGGAAUUAUUUGGGCGUAAAGAGCUCGUAGGCGGUUUGUCGCGUCUGCCCGUGAAAAGUCCGGGGCUCAACUCCGGAUCUGCGGUGGGUACGGGCAGACUAGAGUGAUGUAGGGGAGACUGGAAUUCCUGGUGUAGCGGUGAAAUGCGCAGAUAUCAGGAGGAACACCGAUGGCGAAGGCAGGUCUCUGGGCAUUAACUGACGCUGAGGAGCGAAAGCAUGGGGAGCGAACAGG
rnacentral:rRNA from 1 species